rnacentral:rRNA from 1 species
GACGAACGCUGGCGGCGUGCCUAAUACAUGCAAGUAGAACGCUGAAGGAGGAGCUUGCUUCUCUGGAUGAGUUGCGAACGGGUGAGUAACGCGUAGGUAACCUGCCUGGUAGCGGGGGAUAACUAGUUGAAACGAUAGCUAAUACCGCAUAAUAGUAGAUGUUGCAUGACAUUUGCUUAAAAGGUGCGCUUGCAUCACUACCAGAUGGCCCUGCGUUGUAUUAGCCAGUUGGGGGGGUAACGGCUCACCAAGGCGACGAUAGGUAGCCGACCUCCGAGGGUGAGCGCCCACACUGGGAUGGAGACACGGCCCAGACUCCUACGAGAGGCAGCAGUAGGGAAGCUUCGGCGAUGGACGGAAGUCUGACCGAUCAACGCCGCGUGAGUGAAGAAGGUUGUAGGAUCGUAUAGCUCAGGUGGGAGAGAAGAUCGAGUGGGAGAGUGGAAAGUGCACACUAUGACGGUAUCUGACCAGAAAGGUACGGCUAACUACGUG